GACGAACCGUGCGAACGUUUUCGGAAUCACUGGGCUUAAAGGGCGCGUAGGCGGAUCAUCAAGUCAGGGGUGAAAUCCCACGGCUCAACCGUGGAAGUGCCUUUGAUACUGGUGGUCUGGAGUGGGGUAGGGGCAUGCGGAACUGGUGGUGGAGCGGUGAAAUGCGUAGAUAUCACUAGGAACGCCGGUGGCGAAAGCGGCGUGCUGGACCCCAACUGACGCUGAGGCGCGAAAGCCAGGGGAGCAAACGGG
rnacentral:rRNA from 1 species